GGACGAACGCUGGCGGUGCGCCUUAUGCAUGCAAGUUGAGCGAAGCUUUUUGGUAGUUUACUACUAGAAAUGACUGAGCGGCGAACGGGUGAGUAACGCGUGAGCAAUCUACCUUAGUUACUGGGAUAGCCCGAGGAAACUCGGAUUAAUACCGGAUAUUCUUAUUUUUUCACAUGAAGUUUUAAGGAAAGGUCAGCCGAACUAAGAUGAGCUCGCGCUCUAUCAGCUAGUUGGUGGGGUAAAAGCCUACCAAGGCUACGACGGAUAGCUGGUCUGAGAGGACGAUCAGCCACACUGGGACUGAGACACGGCCCAGACUCCUACGGGAGGCUGCAGCAGGGAAUAUUGUGCAAUGAGCGAAAGCUUGACACAGCGACACCGCGUGUGGGAUGACGGUUCUAGGAUUGUAAACCACUUUCAGGAGGGAAGAAAAUGACGGUACCUCCACAAGAAGACCCGGCCAACUAUGUGCC
rnacentral:rRNA from 1 species